rnacentral:rRNA from 1 species
UAAGGAAUAUUGGUCAAUGGACGCAAGUCUGAACCAGCCAUGCCGCGUGAAGGAUGAAGGUCCUCUGGAUUGUAAACUUCUUUUAUCUGGGACGAAAACGGGAUUUUUAUUUCAAUAGACGGUACCAGAGGAAUAAGCACCGGCUAACUCCGUGCCAGCAGCCGCGGUAAUACGGAGGGUGCGAGCGUUAUCCGGAUUUACUGGGUUUAAAGGGUGCGUAGGUGGACUUAUAAGUCAGUGGUGAAAUCUCCGAGCUUAACUUGGAAACUGCCGUUGAUACUAUAGGUCUUGAAUUAUCUGGAGGUAAGCAGAAUAUGUCAUGUAGCGGUGAAAUGCUUAGAUAUGACAUAGAACACCAAAUGCGAAGGCAGCUUACUACAUAUAAAUUGACGCUGAGGCACGAAAGCGUGG